UUCCGGAAAGUACGUCACUUUGGCCAUAGAGCCUCGCUUUCAUGUACGUAAAAAACGAGGCUCUAUGGCCAAGGUGACGUACUUUCCGGAA